AGGCAGCAACAACAUCUCCACCUGCUCACUCCUCUUGUCUUAUGAAAAUUGCUUACAUGUUCAAUGUCAACAGGCCAAUGCUAUUGUCUUCUUAUGAGAAACACAUAUAUUCGUUUUAAGGCUCAAAUACUAAUUGUCACUCAUUUUAUAGUUAUUUCUACAAGUCUUCAUGUAUUUGUUUUAAAGGUCCGGUAAAAGCAACAAGUUUAAAAAUAAAAAAAACAUAUAACAACCAUAAUAAGAAUAAAAAAUUAUUAUUUAAUACACACAACUUACACAACUAAACUGGAGAAAAAAAAUCCAGAAACAAAAUGUACUAUCAACAACGUUAAUAUAAUUUAUGUAAUCUUAACAGUACAAGUAACAAAUUAAAAAGACAAACAAACAAUAAAUCUCAGUGACACAACAAGAAACACCACGAACUAUAUCAAUCACAUUACUAACACAGUUUAG
rnacentral:lncRNA from 1 species